rnacentral:rRNA from 1 species
AUUGAACGCUGGCGGCAGGCCUAACACAUGCAAGUCGAGCGGAUGAGUGGAGCUUGCUCCAUGAUUCAGCGGCGGACGGGUGAGUAAUGCCUAGGAAUCUGCCUGGUAGUGGGGGACAACGUUUCGAAAGGAACGCUAAUACCGCAUACGUCCUACGGGAGAAAGUGGGGGAUCUUCGUACCCCACGCUAUCAGAUGAGCCUAGGUCGGAUUAGCUAGUUGGUGGGGUAAAGGCUCACCAAGGCGACGAUUCGUAACUGGUCUGAGAGGAUGAUCAGUCACACUGGGACUGAGACACGGUCCAGACUCCUACGGGAGGCAGCAGUGGGGAAUAUUGGACAAUAGGCGAAAGCCUGAUCCAGCCAUGCCGCGUGUGUGAAGAAGGUCUUCGGAUUGUAAAGCACUUUAAGUUGGGAGGAAGGGCAGUAAGUUAAUACCUUGCUGUUUUGACGUUACCAACAGAAUAAGCACCGGCUAACUUCGUGCCAGCCGCCGCCGUAAAAC